rnacentral:rRNA from 1 species
AGUAAUGUGUGUAGCUAACCGAUACUAAUAGCUCGAUUGAUUUACUUUGCUGUGAGAUUACAUAUGCAUAUAGUGUUAAUGCUAUAAGAGUGUAGUAUCUACUCACAAAGUUAUAAAUAGCUUUAUCAACUAAUAAAAAUGUUAUUGCAUAACUAUAUCCAGCGAAAAUUAUUUUGCUGAAUAUCGUAGUAAAAGUUAAGAUAUGAUGUUAAGAAUUUUUUUUGAGUCGUGCAACAGCAUUAACAGCAAACUAUAAUACAAAUCUCUCUUUUUAAAAGUUUGUAUUGCUAGCUUGGUGGUUAUAGCAUGA